CCCUUAGAUGUUCUGGGCCGCGCGCGCGCUACACUGACGGAGGCAGCGAGCGUGUCCUUCGCCGGCAGGUGCGGGCAAUCUUGCGAGUCUCCGUCGUGCUGGGGAUAGAUGGUUGCAAUUGUCGAUCUUGAACGAGGAAUUCCUAGUAAGCGCGAGUCAUCAGCUCGCGCUGAUUACGUCCCUGCCCUUUGUACACACCGCCCGUCGCUACUACAGAGUGCCCGUGUCCAAGAAACGGUCGGACCUGUGCGGCCUCUCCGGGCGACCGGAGGGCCGUUACGGGGAAGACCCUUUAUUUGACGCGGGUCGAUGAAGUAAAAGUCGUAACA
rnacentral:rRNA from 1 species